rnacentral:rRNA from 1 species
GGGGGGACCACCCUCCAACCCUAAAUACUACCCAGUGACCGAUAGCGUAUAGUACUGUGAAGGAAAGGUGAAAAGGACCCCGGGAGGGGAGUGAAAUAGAACCUGAAACCUUGUGCCUACAAGCACAUAGAGCACAUCAACGUGUGAUAUGGUACUUUUUGUAGAACGGUCCGGCGAGCGAUUGUAUGUUGCGAGCUUAAGGUCUUAAGGACUGGAGGCGUAGCGAGAGCGAGUCUGAAGAGGGCGUUCAGUAACAUGCAAUGGGCCCGAAACCGGGUGACCUACCCAUGAUCAGGCUGAAGUGAAAGUAAAAUUUCAUGGAGGGCCGAACCGACCUCCGUUGAAAAGGCGGCGGAUGAAUUGUGGGUAGCGGAGAAAUUCCAAUCGAACUCGGAGAUAGCUGGUUCUCCCCGAAAUAGCUUUAGGGCUAGCCUCAUAUUAGAUACCCGGAGGUAAAGCACUGAAUGGCCUAGCGCCCGAGAGGGUAGCGAAGCCUAUCAAACUAAGAAUGCCGGAGUAUUGAUGUAUGGGAGUCAGACAGUGUGAGAUAAAUCUCAUUGUCAAAAGGGAAACAGCCCAGAUCUACAGCUAAGGUCCCAAAUUGUAUCUAAGUGGAAAACGAUGUGGAAAUACGCAGACAACCAGGAUGUUGGCUCAGAAGCAGCCACUCAUUUAAAGAGUGCGUAAUAGCUCACUGGUCGAGCGUCUCUGCGCGGAAAAUUUAACGGGGCUAAGAUACAAACCGAAGCUUAGGCUGCACGUAAGUGCGGGGUAGGGGAGCGUUGUGUAAGCGGAGAAACAGUAGCGUAAGCGGCUGUGGAGUUUACAGAAGUGAGAAUGCCGGAAUGAGUAGCGCGAAUGUGGUGAGAAUCCACAUGGCCGGAAACCUCAGGUUUUUGGAGGAAGGUUCGUCCGCUCCAAGUUAGGCGGGAGCUAAGGUCAGGCCGAAAGGCGUAGCCGAUGCACAGACGGUAGAGAUUCCGUCCCCACCGAAAGAUUUAAGCACAGGGACACUUUUUGAAGGUCGGAGCCAGGUGUUGGUUCUGGUAGUGAUCGAGGGAAAUAUAGUACCGAAGUCCGGCUGGAAGAGAGGCGAGAAAAGCUGUGUGUAUAUCUAAGGUGCCCGUACCGCAAACCGACACAGGUAGGUAGGAAGAAGAUUCUAAGGCCAACGGGAGAAGGGUUGUUAAGGAACUCGGCAAAUUGACCCCGUAACUUCGGGAGAAGGGGUGCUCCAGAGAUGGAGCCGCAGAGAAUCGGCCCAAGCAACUGUUUACCAAAAACACAGGUUUGUGCUAAAUCGAAAGAUGACGUAUACGAGCUGACGCCUGCCCGGUGCUGGAAGGUUAAAAGGAGAUGUGCAAGCAUUGAAUUGAAGCCCCAGUGAACGGCGGCCGUAACUAUAACGGUCCUAAGGUAGCGAAAUUCCUUGUCAGGUAAGUUCUGACCCG